UACGGAGGGGGUUAGCGUUGUUCGGAAUUACUGGGCGUAAAGCGCGCGUAGGCGGACUAUUAAGUCAGAGGUGAAAUCCCGGGGCUCAACCCCGGAACUGCCUUCAACUCUGGUAUUCUGAGUUCGAGAGAGGUAGAGUGAAUUCCGAGUGUAGAGGUGAAAUUCGUAGAUAUUCGGAGGAACACCAGUGGCGAAGGCGGCUACUGGCUCGAUACUGACGCUGAGGUGCGAAAAGUGUGGGGAGCAAACAGGAUUAGAUACCCCGUGUC
rnacentral:rRNA from 1 species